GUUAAUGGGGACGGACUGUAAAUCCGCUGGCAAUGCCUACGCUGGUUCAAAUCCAGCUCGGCCCAA
rnacentral:tRNA from 2 species